rfam:Dactylellina haptotyla CBS 200.50 unplaced genomic scaffold scaffold00242, whole genome shotgun sequence.
GGCCGAAUAGUGUAGUUGGUUAUCACGUUCGCUUCACACGCGAGAGGUCGAGGGAUCGAGCCCCUCUUCGGUCA